AGCAGCCGCGGUAAUUCCAGCUCCAAUAGCGUAUAUUAAAGUUGUUGCAGUUAAAAAGCUCGUAGUUGAAUUUCGGGAUUAGUACGCUGGUCGUGCCUUUGGUAUGUACUGGUGUUACUGGUUCCUACCUUCUGACGAACCGUCAUGUCAUUAAUUUGGUGUGGCGGGGAAUCAGGACUGUUACUUUGAAAAAAUUAGAGUGUUUAAAGCAGGCUCGCGCUUGAAUACAUUAGCAUGGAAUAAUGAAAUAGGACGUUCGAUCCUAUUUUGUUGGUUUCUAGGAUUGACGUAAUGAUUAAUAGGGAUAGUUGGGGGCAUUAGUAUUCAAUUGUCAGAGGUGAAAUUCUUGGAUUUAUUGAAGACUAACUACUGCGAAAGCAUUUGCCAAGGAUGUUUUCAUUAAUCAAGAACGAAAGUUAGGGGAUCGAAGACGAUCAGAUACCGUCGUAGUCUUAACCAUAAACUAUGCCGACUAGGGAUCGGAUGAUGUUAAUUUUUUAAUGACUCAUUCGGCGCCUUACG
rnacentral:rRNA from 1 species